GACGAACGCUGGCGGCGUGCCUAAUACAUGCAAGUCGAACGCUUUUUCUUUCACCGGAGCUUACUCCACCGAAAGAAAAAGAGUGGCGAACGGGUGAGUAACACGUGGGUAACCUGCCCAUCAGAAGGGGAUAACACUUGGAAACAGGUGCUAAUACCGUAUAACACUAUUUUCCGCAUGGAAGAAAGUUGAAAGGCGCUUUUGCGUCACUGAUGGAUGGACCCGCGGUGCAUUAGCUAGUUGGUGAGGUAACGGCUCACCAAGGCAACGAUGCAUAGCCGACCUGAGAGGGUGAUCGGCCACACUGGGACUGAGACACGGCCCAGACUCCUACGGGAGGCAGCAGUAGGGAAUCUUCGGCAAUGGACGAAAGUCUGACCGAGCAACGCCGCGUGAGUGAAGAAGGUUUUCGGAUCGUAAAACUCUGUUGUUAGAGAAGAACAAGGAUGAGAGUAGAACGUUCAUCCCUGACGGAUCUACCA
rnacentral:rRNA from 1 species